AAGGGUAUAGCUCAGUGGUGGAGCACAUGCCUAGCAUGCACAAGGUCUUGGGUUCAAUCCCCAGCGCCUCCA
rnacentral:tRNA from 1 species